rnacentral:tRNA from 1 species
AGCGGGGUAGCGCAGAGGUAGCGUGCGAGAGUCAUUAUCUUGAGGUCGCCGGUUCGAAUCCGGCCCCCGCCA